rnacentral:rRNA from 1 species
AGGGUUUGAUUAUGGCUCAGGAUGAACGCUGGCGGCGUGCCUAACACAUGCAAGUCGAGCGAAGCGGUCUGGAGGAAGUUUUCGGAUGGAAUCCGGAUUGACUGAGCGGCGGACGGGUGAGUAACGCGUGGGUAACCUGCCUCAUACAGGGGGAUAACAGUUAGAAAUGGCUGCUAAUACCGCAUAAGCGCACAGCUUCGCAUGGAGCAGUGUGAAAAACUCCGGUGGUAUGAGAUGGACCCGCGUCUGAUUAGCUAGUUGGUAAGGUAACGGCUUACCAAGGCGACGAUCAGUAGCCGACCUGAGAGGGUGACCGGCCACAUUGGGACUGAGACACGGCCCAA